AUUGAACGCUGGCGGAAUGCUUUACACAUGCAAGUCGAGCGGCAGCACGGGGGCAACCCUGGUGGCGAGCGGCGAACGGGUGAGUAAUACAUCGGAGCAUGCCCAGUCGUGGGGGAUAACACUUCGAAAGAAGUGCUAAUACCGCAUACGUCCUGAGGGAGAAAGCGGGGGAUCGCAAGACCUCGCGCGAUUGGAGUGGCCGAUGUCAGAUUAGCUAGUUGGUGGGGUAAAGGCCUACCAAGGCAACGAUCUGUAGCUGGUCUGAGAGGAUGAUCGGCCAAACUGGGACUGAGACACGGCCCAGACUCCUACGGGAGGCAGCAGUGGGGAAUUUUGGACAAUGGGGGCAACCCUGAUCCAGCCAUUCCGCGUGAGUGAAGAAGGCCUUCGGGUUGUAAAGCUCUUUCGGCAGGAACGAAACGGCGAGCUCUAAAAUAGCUUGCUAAUGACGGUACCUGAAGAAGAAGCACCGGCUAACUACGUG
rnacentral:rRNA from 1 species